rnacentral:rRNA from 1 species
UGAGGGGGGCUGCUCCUAGUACGAGAGGACCGGAGUGGACGCAUCACUGGUGUUCGGGUUGUCAUGCCAAUGGCACUGCCCGGUAGCUAAAUGCGGAAGAGAUAAGUGCUGAAAGCAUCUAAGCACGAAACUUGCCCCGAGAUGAGUUCUCCCUGACUCCUUGAGAGUCCUGAAGGAACGUUGAAGACGACGACGUUGAUAGGCCGGGUGUGUAAGCGCAGCGAUGCGUUGAGCUAACCGGUACUAAUGAACCGUGAGG